ensembl:lncRNA
GAGAGGAAGUGAGAGAGGAUGAGGGGAGUGUUUGAGUUCACAGCCUGGGCUACUUCACACCUGCAGCCACUGAGCUUGUUUACACUCAAAUACACACACACACAUUCAGUACACAUUUUCUCACCCACACACACCAAGAAAUACACGCACACACACACACACACACACACACACACAAGCGCCGGAUGACAACCGCAUAACACGGCAACAACACACCACAGCAGGCCUCUUCUGUAUCCACUCAAUCACAGUCUUUCUAAUCACAUGCAAAUUAAUAUCCCGUUGUCCUCAGGUUGCAUCCAUCACGCUAACAACAAAAUUCACCACAUUGCAUGACUUCACUUCCUCACCGUUCCUGUGAGAACGUGCAAGCAGUAAGACAGCUUUUAUGGUGCAAACAGGGAAUGCAGUGCCUGCUUUCUGUCCAAUAUUGAGAGGGUUUCCUUUGGUAUAUAACUACUUUGGAUCAAAUGCUUUGGCAAAAUACCAAAAUUGGUGCAUAUUAAGCCAUAUGAAAUUAGUAAUCAGAGCCUAUAUUUUCCUGCUCUCAGAAAGCAUACUGGUUUUUAAUCGGGAUGUUUUGCUUUUGUAUGUCCUUUGGGGUGGAAACUUUGUGCAUCCUUUUAAUGUAAUGAGUGCUGAAAAAUGAACCAUCUGCUUUUCUAUUUACUAAACAUUCUAAAAAUCUGUCCUCAAGCCCAGGGAUGGAACUGCUCCGGGGCAUAAUGCAAACAUAUCCUUUUGAUAUUAAAAUGAAAUGUGAUUUAAAUUGCAAGUGUAAAGUGUACCUUUGAAUUAAAGCAAUUAUUAUUUGUUUGUUUCUGACAUCAAAAGUAGCUCACAGUGAAUUGACAGUGGCCCUGUAAGCUUCGGGAAAAUGAUUGAUGCGCUUGAGUUAGUCAGAGUCACUUGCAUCUCAGUCUUUAAGAUUUAAUUUCAUUUGAAUACAUCCAUAAUCAUUAUCACCGUUUUGAAAGGAACCUAUUAUAACUAUUUGCUGGGACUUCAAAAUGUUUUACAACAGGCACGAAACAUCAAAUAUGAGUAUUGCUGAAAAGUCUGUAAAUGCACUCAUUAAGGCAAUUGAAUAAUGUUGUGGUGAAGUGAUCAGAAAGCAGCUUGUGUUCAACGGAGGGUUAAAUAAUGGAGUUGUACAACCUUGAAUACAGAUUUAUUUUUUAGUUUCUUGUAUGUUUUGUCAGGAACUUUUAUCACAGACACUUUUUGACAGCAAAAAGUCACAUUAAUAUCAAAUUGUUGACUUUCAACUGAAUUUGCAUCCAAGCAAAUAAAUUUGCAAGAUGUUAAAAUUGUAAAUUGAUAAAAUACACUAUCUGCUAUUGAUAUCAUUUAAAAACUAAAUAUGCUAAAUAUGGUAGUGACCCCCUUUGUUAAAAGCAGAUUGACUUAAUACCAAGAGUUUUCAAACAAACAUAAUCAUAAAGCAAAUCUUGAAUUUAGGAUAGAGCUUAACCAUCUGUAUGCUGAAGUAACAAAAUACCAUUCCUUCAUCAUGCGAUGAGUGAUGCUCACUCACCUAAUGUUUCUCUGAAAAUGUUAUCUUACAUGCGAUGGUUUUACAGGUCAAAAAUACUUGUAAAUAAUGUAUAAUUUUUUCCAUUUCUGAAAUGCUGUCCGUAUUAGAUGUUUUUGUCUCUGUCUCCUCGGUCUGAAAGAGCUGCAGGUUAAGGUCGAUGCUCCACAGGUUAUAUUUCUAAAUGUGACAAAGGGGAGAAUAAAAAGAUAUUUUAACUUUUUGCACCUCCAUCAGACUGCAAAUACAUUACUCAUAAGCUGACUUUAUAAUAUUUACAUGAAAGCCAAGACAAAUGUUGAUUCAUAAAAAUUCUUAUGGAAACGUAUCCUUGACUGUGAUUUUAGUACAUUUGUGUCAGUAUUUUAAAGGCUACAUAAUGAUAGUGAUUGGGAGCUAAAACAAUUAGCUGAUUAAAUUAUUAUUUAAUAAUUGUCUUUAUUAAUUAGUCAAACACCUAAAAUAAUCAACAAACCAUCAAUAAAUAGAUAUGUCAAGCAAAAAGCCCAAACGUCUGUGGUUUUUGCAUGUGAUUGUUUUAUCUUCUAAUUUGUCUUGUAUAAAUUCAAAAUUAUAAUUUUUCUUGAAACAAGUCAUUUAAAUAAUACAUGUAACGCCUCAGUCAUGUCUACUAUUAAAUAAUAUAAACGGAUCAGUUAACCUGAUGUUGGAAGAGAACAUUAUUUCCUUUUGAUAUCAUUUUUCAUCUACCAAUUGUGGUGUUGACCUGUUACAUCUAUGAACCUUUUAUGAACUCUAGACGGUUGCUGCAGAUACAUUCCAUCAGGUUAGAGAGGGAGAGAAAGUUCCUCAUAACUUCAGAAAUAAACUGUUCACUAUAACAUAAGACAUAUCUGGCCAUUCACCUUCUCUCAUCUGCACUGUGUAGUAUAGUAGAUUUACUAGUAAAAAAUCAUAUAGUUUUGAAAUGGUUUUAGAACGCAUAUACACACCUUAUUGAUAUUCAGGCAGAGAAAGAAUUCAAUAUUUCCUCCAGAGAAUAACUCCUUUCUCCAUAAUUUCCAUAGAAAGUUUGUGGGCAAAUGCGGUAAUAGACACAUUUAUAACAUCAAAAGGAUUCAAUUUUCUUUUCAAUCACAUAACAGUAUGAAUGGCUUUUUCCAUUGAAUCUAACAACGAGAGGCCAUUACCACAUGCUAAAGGAUGGGUUGCUGCCACUUGCUUUUAUGAAAGUCUGUCAAACAAUUUGUCAUGCCUCGCAUUUGUUCUAACCAAACGGGGCCUGUCAAACUGCUUUAUUCCUAAUUUGUCAGGCGGGGGUCAUUUUUAUUUUCAAUUGGAAUACACAAUCAUCAGUGAUACAUGUAUGGACUGUGUGCACACAUGCACUCUUUAAUACGGAGUUUUAUUUAAGUCUCUUUAAUAAAUUAACUACGCUACUGAAGAGAUCACAAAGCAUUGUGAUGACAACUGGAGUCAGUUAAUUACAGCUGGUAAAUCGUUUGGAAAUGAUGACAUACAAAGCAAAAGUGUGAUUGCGACACACUGAGUAUUUUGCUAGCUGGGGAUGUGGCCAGUGUUCAAAUAGAUGGGCGAUAAAAGCAAAUAUUUUCACCUCAGUCGUGUAAUGGCUCCGUUCGGAGCACUUUGUAGAAAAGGUUUUCAAUAAAUGGCUGCAAAGGGGUGAGUUCCUCAUCUUUCAAACAUGUUGUGGCUGUUUCCACUCUGGCUCUUUGUACUGCUCCACUGGAAUCCAUUCACAUGACACAAUUUAAGUAAUCAACCUGUACAAAAAUACUAACUACACACUCAACAGCUGGACUAUAGACUGAAAUUGAACUGGCCUGAUGUGUUGAUUGGGGUUUAACGUUAGGUAAAGUAAAACAUGAAUAAAUACCUUUUCCCUUUUGGGUAUGUAUAUAAUAUAAUGAUGAUCUGCUCUAUAUUCACUAUUAAUUAUCACGUGAAUUAAAAAGAUACAUACAAUAAAAGAGAUAAAGUAUAAAGAUAUAAUUUCCAAUAAUUUAGUUAUUAAUGCUUUGUCAGUUAGUAAUUCAUCCUCACCAUGUUGUACAUUUUUAAACAUUUUAUACAGUAAAAGUUCUGUACAGACUCAAAUUAAUAAUUUCACAAAAUCAUGUUUUACUGUAUGAAUGGAGAAAUGUACUUACCAUGAAAAAUAGUGGAGUAACAGGCAAAUGCAAAUUUAUUACGCAGUUCAACAUUCACCUUUACAGUUAUAGUCACCUGCAGUAUGAUGCGUUCAGGCUCUGUUCAUUCAAGUCAGAAUUGGUCAGCGGUAAAAUCUCGUAAAUUGUAGUGUUGGUGAGACACUUGAAUAUAUCUAGUUGUUAGAAGGAGAAGAUUUCCAAACAAAAUAUUUGCAGAUGUUAGCGAAGGAAUUAUAAUAUGUUAACAAUAUGUUCAGCAGUUUAUAAUGACUUAUUAAAACUACAAAUGACAAUAUUAAUUUUAACUAACACAGAUAUCUUUUAUUUACUUCUCAAGAAGCAAAAGGCAAGAUUUGAUUUUUGGAAAGUUUGAACUCACUUCAAAGCAGUUGAGGGAUGGCAAACUUUCUGGGGCCCCAUAUACUUGGACUUGGAGACCUUGAGGGAAUCUGUAUCCGCCAAUGCGGAUCAUCACCGAUCAUCAAUUAGGCGGAAAAACAACGUCAUCGGGGAUCUCUAAAAGUUAUUUUCGCUUUCUCAUCUGAUCUGUGAUCGAAUCCGUAAACCUGGCCUGUGAUACCGACCAAAUGCUUUAUGAUCCUUUAUGACACUUAUGCAUAUCGAAAGAAUCGAUGAGGCAGAUGAGGCAAUGUGAGCCAUGUUGAUACGUUUAACUGCCAGCUUGUAACAUAAUGCCUGCUUAGGAGCCAUUCUCUCCCUCCUGAGGCAAAUCAUGCCGUUGUGGAUGGAAGUUGUGGAUAUAAAAGACUUCACAAUAGUAUAUGGAAUUAGUUUUUUUUUUUUAAACUACAGUAUAUUACUAUGAAAAGGCAACUGCACUCUGAUGCUGAAUUGAGCGGAGUAGAAGUGUAAAGAUUUGUUUCUCAAGUUCAGUGCUUAUUGACAUGAGGUUGGUAAAAAGAAAUGUCACAAUCAUCUAAUCAGUUUGCAUUGACCGAACAUACUCAAUCAUUUCUUUUUUUUGUUCUUGUUUGAGAGCAUUAUCCUGGGGACAAUGUUAGCCACCUCAACUUGUACAUUUAUAAAUCUAACUUUGAUUUUAAGAUAAGAUUUUAUUCAUCUCACAGUUUAAAUCAAGUGCAUGACCACAAGUACGGAUUUAAUGAAUACAGAGAAUUAGUUGAAUAAGGGAAUAUCAUCGUAUGCCAAUUAUACAGGUGUUAUAGAUUUACUCAUUUAUUUAUGCGUGCCGGUGUGGUUCAGAUCAGAUGUCCCCUUCAUGUGGGGGCCUCUGCUUGGAUAUUAUUUGUGACUAUUCUUUCCUUGAUCGAACAACUCAUUGAAAUAUCAGUGCAUUGAUGUAGUGCAUCAAUGCACUGAUACUACUUCAACACAGACUGUGAUUGAAUACAUGGAUAUGUUUUGUGUGAGCAAUGAAGUUUUCAUAAUUGCAUGAAACAUCUCAGCAACUAAACGGAAUGCUGAGGGACUUGAGCCGUCCAACCGAAGCAUGGAAGCGCAAUCUGCAGAGAGUCAUUCUGAGAAACAGCUGGACUUGUCAGAUAUACUUAAUAGUGACUAUAUCCUUUGUGAAAGAUCUGGCUUAUACAUGGUAAUGAAUUAUAAGUGUGAUAAGAGAAACAUCAAAGGCAUAUCCAACUGAAGUUGUUGCCAGAUCUAGUGAAAUGUCAAAGUAAUGAGUUAUCAUUACAAUAAGAAAUGCAAGCUAAUGAUUAGUGAAAUGGGCAACAUUUGUAUCGUUAAUAUAUUAUAGACACUUAUUUUGCUUUAUGUCAAAGCAGACGUUUUAACAACCAUCUCAGGACAUUUGUCUAGCCAAUUCUAUAAUGUUUAAAGAAUGAGUUUAUGAUUUUGCUAAAAAAGAAACGCCUUUUUGCCACGCUACUUUGGUUUGUUCUUCCCCAUGAGAAAAGCUAACUUGAGCUAAAGAAAACCAUUAUGUGUAAUUGCAUCUGACAGCAUGUUGUAUUUAUAUCUCAUUGUAGUGACAAGGGAGUUACUUCCGAGUGGAAAAUGGUAUCUCAGGUCUCCUGCAUGCUUCUUAUCAUUGAUUCAUAGAGAACAGAAGCAACUCCUUGUAAAUGGAUGGAUAUGCAUUUAAGUGUCCAUCCUCCUUUCUUAAAAUUGUAGCCGCAGUUAUCUGCCAUCGUCACUUUCGGCCAUGUGCUCUGCCUGCUCAGAUUUUAAUGCUCUGGCAGGCAGGAUAGAGCUUAUAUUUAACAAGGCUGACAGGUUGGACAGUAAUGUAGUUGUCUAGGCUUUUAUUCCUUACUCGGGAUUGGAUUUUGAAAACCACAGCACAUUAGAAUGAAGUGCUCUCCGACAGCCCCCACAGGAAAGUUAAACUGCAGCGUGCAUCCCGGCUACAACAAGAGGUGCACUAAAAAUACUGUCUCUCCGGUCUGAAAGAGCUCACCGGGUUUAAACUGAAUGUGGAAAAACUUUUAGAAAGUUGUGGUAAUUACUAAAUUCAUAUGAAAAUUCUAAAUCAACCUUUUUCUUUCUUUUAUUAUUUGUAAAAUAUCUUUAUAACUGUGUUGUCCAAAAUUACUUUUAAAUUAAUUAGUUACUCUGUAGAGAAUAGGAUUUUUCUCAUUAAAUUCUGUGGUAAAUGUUGUAUUAGACAUUAAUGUUUUAUGUCUGUAAACAGAAACUGCAAGUAGAAACUAUUCUUCCAUCAUCAGAUAACUAAAGAUAACUAAAACACUGUCACUGUUUCAACGACAUUCUUUUCAAUUGUAAUAAUUUGUAAUUCAUCAUUUGAUAUUACAUUUGUUUGUGUUGCAGACAGACUGACCGGCUGACCAACAGGAUCAUUAUUAAAAUGAUUUCCUUUCAUCACAAACAAUACCUGCGUGAAGUAAACAGGAUGAAAUUCCACUACCUGGAUGAAGAAACAUUUCCUAUUUGAUGUUCAUAAUCAUACCGCUGUUCUUUUAUGGAGAAACCACUUAUAUUCUAAACAGGUCAUUCUUUUGAAUAUCACGGAUUAUUCACCUCUUUGUUCCAGUCUCUCAUGCAGCUUUACAAAUGCUUAUAUAGAUAACUUGAACUUGCAUAUGUUAAUGUUUUUAUAUAGUUGGUUAGAAUUCUAGACUUCUUAAUGAUUAAAAUGACUUAAGAUAUUUUUCACUGUCCCAGUUAUCAUUCCCUAACUUUUCUGUUCAGCGUUGCAUGUCGUUGUACGCAAGCUGACAGAGCCAAACAGCAGGCUUUUAGAUCACCUUAGAAUGACGUUCAAGUUUUAUAGGGACUCGCUGGUUACCAAAAGCUGGAGGAAAAAAUAAAUCGGCUGCCAGGCAGCUGGUCCUCUUCACAUUCACUUAUGGGGACACCCGCAAAAGCAAAGCCCACACCACAGCUGGAAACCAUCAGGAUGAAAAGUUGAGACUGUGGGCCUUCCCUCCCUGUGCCCAAAGACAUCAGGCUUUCAUCUCUGCAUGUAAAUGUGUCAUUCCCCAUUCAUUCCUCUUACGUUGUAAGGACAAAGGAAUUAACCAGACCUUUUUUUCGAAUUAAAAAUCCUGUUUUAAUGAACUCAGUCUUUUGAUUGAUCAAUCGUAAAAAUACAACCGUCAGUAGAUUGAUCUAACCCUCUACACAAUUGAACGUGCUCUGAUAAUUAGAUUUGACCCGAGGCUGUAGUACAUCACUGCCCUUUUUCAUGACAAAUGCUAAGACUUCAAAACAAAACAUGCGUUCAAAGUAACACCUCGGACCUGCACUCUCUAAAUUACAGACCAAAGUAAAAAACCCUUUUAAAGGAUGGAAAUGCUAGAUUUCUCGAAUGAAGGAUUCAGUGUAAGAAGGAAAGAAACAAUUCUGAUACAGAAACAAGUCAUAGAUAAUGAUCCAGUUUUUUGAGGGGGGGGGGGGGGGGCAACGAUGAAUGAGAAUAGCCAAGAACAAUUGCUUCAAUAGGGAAAUAGGAAAUUACUAAGUAUCCUCUGCCUGGUCCAUUAAUGUGGCUGGGACGUGAACCAAGACUUCCUGAAUUGACAGGAAGCCAUACACAUGUUGCCACUGAGUGAUGGGAGUGUGCGCAGGAAAAAGGCGGGGUUGGUCGGGCUUGUGGACCUGGCAUGCCAAGACAAAAACAUUGUGUGAUGAGCGCUACUCAGUGUGUUUAGAAGCUGGGAUGGCCAUUCAUCCACACCAGUCGGGCCUCCAUGGCAGUGAUUAGCAUUGUCAUCCUCAUUUACAGGCCCUCUAUGCAGAUGGCCCGCAUGCUGGAGGUGCCAGCAUAAGAGUGGCUGUUCACUCUCACAUAAUCACCCUCUGGCCUCUGCUCUCAUCUGUCCCCUUUAUUUCCAUAAAAAGUAUUCUAGGAAAAUUUGUAUGGCCGUUUUAUGUUCCUUUUAUUAUUGCUCUGGAUUAUAGGGAAUAGUCUUGCCAGUGCUUAUGCGCUGAUGGAUGUUUCGGUGGUGCUGGUGACGCAGUUGUGGUGUUUCUUUUGAAUUGCUCACAUCGGAAUGGCCAACAUUGGAUCUUUUAAAAAAACGAAUAAAAUCAGUUUAAUGCUGCGAUAUAAAACCACACAGCUCUAGUAAAAGAUGACAGUUUAACGCUGCAGAGGGAGAGAUCUGAUCAGCACACUGCCUGGGGCACUACAGGGCUGCCAGGGGCUGUUCGCGGCCUCUGUAGAUAUUCACAUUAGGCCCCACUACCAGGCCUGUGGAGAAGAAAGUACUGCAGACAUACAGCAUAUGUCACGUACGUUUGAUACCACAUCACCGUGCAAAGAUGUCUGAUAAACCAAUUUCAAACCUUGGACAGCAACCUCUGGCUGGUUUUGCAUGGCCUCGUUUCACUUGCCUAUACGUCUGCUAUCUUCUCUACUCUGCUCUCCACACCCCUCCUCACAUCUCAAAACCCAGAUGAUAGACCCAAUAAUUAAAGCAAUUCUGAAUGGGUUGGAAAGCUCUGGAGCAUCUGUGUGUGUCAGAUUCUUGACAUGAUACAGUGGGACAGCAAAACUAUUAAAUAUCCAUCAUGCCACGCCACAUCAGUUCUAAUGCAAUCAGAAACACAUGAGUACGUCGGCUAAGUCCCUUUCCAUCCACAAUGAUUAAAGAAGUAUUUAAUUUCAAAGACAAAUAAAAAAUGCAAGAUCAUUUUAUCAAAAAUGUAAAUGACCUGUCUCUUUGCAUGACACUUACCGGCAACAGAGCCGGAGUCAAUACGAAAGUCUGUACACUACUGGGAACGGCAAAACAGGGACCAUUUUCUCUGAUGGCCAUUAUUCUAAUACGAUGUUCGUGUAUUUACUUUAAUUCUCUGUCGCCAAAUAUGGACAGCAAAGGUGAAAGGCCUCGUCACUAAAAGACAAGAUGGAAUAAAGAGGACAUUGUCAAUACAAUAUAAUAUGAACUCCCCUAUAAUGCUGGACUCAAAUGUAUUUGGCUUUACAAAUUUGGUAUUAGUAGAAUAUGUUUUUUAUUCAAAUAAAAAAGGAGACAAAUGAUAGAAUAAAUUAUCUUUGCAUUAGGCUUAAGGCCAUAGGGACCAUUUUGAAGGUUCUUUUGCAAAUAAGAAUAUAAGGGAGAUAUUUCUUUUAAAAUGGGUUGAUAAUUGUACUUGUCUCAACACUGCUUGGAUGAUAAUUAUGAAACCUUUUAACUGAGAGUUGAUUCUCUAAAAGAAAUAAUCAUAAAAGGACACCCAAAGAAUAAGAGCAACUCACUAAUUUGCACUAUUUUUCACUAAGAGCUAUGGCAUCCUAAGCAGCGAAUGAAGACACACUUCCUCCUUGUGUGUUAUUGGAGCUUCUCUUUUCUUUGUUUUGCUAGCAGGGAAGCCAGGCAUGCAUGUUACUGCAUGUAAAUCCUGUAAAGGAUUAAAUCCGUGCUCGAGUACCGCUGACAACACCUUCACGCCACAACACGUCGUCACGGGAGUUAGUCUGCCCUCGGCGGGUGUGAGCCAAAACGCAAAUUACACUGCUAGCUCUGUUAGCACUGUUAGCGUUAGUGAUGACGCCCCUGCAGACCUCUCGCCCCAUUUCGGCUCUAGAAACUCUUAAACGGUUAUCUAGUUGCUUCAGAGUCAGACGGUGUGGAAGCGAUCGCGAAACAGACUCUGGAUCUCGUACAUCGUCUUUAGCACCCUUUUAUACUGCAAAAUACAAUUUUUCUUCUUUGGACAAUCCAGAUGUGUGUGAGGGAUGAAAUACAAAACAGUCAUUUGACUUUGGCUUAAAUGACAUUUGAAUUUGACAGUAAAGAGAAAAGGAUACACGACAACACAGAGAGUGUGCAGGAAUUACUGGGGGAUGUCAAAACUGGCUCGUAUUCAACACAGCCCACCUGACUCUAUUGCUCUCAUGUUUAUGCAGGGAGAAACUGAACUCUUUUGAUUCACCAGUGACGCUUUUGAUUUUGAUUUUGAGUGUCUCCCGGCAGCCUUUCAACGCUGUACUUCAGGCAUUCACUUUAUCAAGCUCGGGUGGGGCAGAGCACGGGCGUGAGUGAGUGUGGAUGACAAAUGUAUGGAUCUGGUUAAGUUCAUAUUUGGGAAGCUGCACUCACCUUUUCAGUUUUCCAAAGUCCCUCCACUUGUCCUGGUGUUACCCGGCAUCCCACAACCUUCUGCUUGAUGUACAUGUAAGUGCUGUCUCACGCCAAACACAGGCAGAGGGAGCCUUCUGAAAGGCUGGUGAAUACAUUACCUUUUCACAUGAAGUUGAUUCAAACAUAAACAACUUUAAAGUGCUUCUUUUGAGCAUGAAGAUCAAGAUAUUCUGUGUCAACAAACCCAAGCUGUCCAAGUUUCUCCAAAGUUUUCAUGAGUUUUAAAUAUCAUCUUGACAAAAGCUUAAAUCAUGUCAGGAGACCAGCUGUAACAAUCAAUGAUUCCAGCCGUUAUUCUCGGAGUGAAACAAGUAAUGAGUAGAUUUUGCACACAUGAUGAAUAUUAAACAUAUAAUUAGGUUUAUUAAAAAUGAUUGUGAUUAAACAUCACAUUAUAUAACAUCUAUUGUUGUUACCCACUGUACGUUUCUCCUUCUUGUUUCUAUUUACUCCACUUUUCAAUAAAGUUAGUCAGGUAAAGUUUUGAAACUUACCUAAGUCAGUGCAAAGGUUAGUUGAGCAAUAGUUUAAAAAUAGAAACUCUUAAUCAAAGAAUUCCAUGUUCCUUGUGAAGAUAUAUCGUACUAAAAUCAAAUGUAUUUGUAUGCAGACUAUUGUCUGGAAGAUCUCCCCAUGAUGAAAAGUAUGCAGAAUAAAAGAUCAGGCCUGUAUAUCAAAGUGAGAGACACAUAUACUCUUGAUGAUGGGAUGGAGGAGCAUUAAUGGAAACACUCCCAUGUACAAGAGGGGCAACUGGGGUCAAACGCAGGGGUGCUGUUAUUCAGGAGGGUCCCAGACGACAUUAAGCAGCACCUCACCUAGAGAUCCCCCAAAUGAUCUACUGAGCCUGUCAACCCGGGUUGGGCCUGGGGGGGAUGGGAGGGGGGAGUCAGCUAACAUGACGAGAGAGCCAUACAAAUAAAUCACAAUUCACUCAGGGAGCAGUCGCACUCAAUGACACAUUCACUGGCUGCCUCUACAGCUCAUUUGAUAACGCUCUUGCCACGUCAUUCAUUUCUCUGAAGGAUGAAAGGGAAGCUGAAAAUGUCAUCAGCUCACUGAAGCAGGGAUGCCAGUGACUCAGAAUAAAGAGGGAGGGAUGUGUCUUAUAAUUAAUUUUUUUUUUUUUUUUUAACCAUGCUACAGCCGGAAAGAUAUCCCACUAUUUGCCGCGGGUCUUUCAAUUAGACAUGCAUUGUAAUUAAAUGCUGUGUCACGGGGCUGUUGGGGCGUGCCGGAUUUAUGUCCCAGGAUAAGUUACCGCCAUUCAUUAUCAUGAUGGAUAGCACGGCGUGAGAGGAAUAUUGUUAGAGUCCCUUUACGAAAGCUGGAGCGAUUGCAUGAUAAUAGAAAUACGUCGUACUCUUGACAGUUUAUAAUGCGGAAACUGUUCAAUUUCAAAUCUUGACAAUCAGCAACUUAGUCAUUAGACAUACAGUAUAGUUAGAUAUACAGUAUACACCACACCAAGUGACUGAGUUACGCAAAUUAUAGCUUUGCAAAAAGUACAUUUCUCCAAAUAAAAGAGUGGUCUAACACAAACAAUCAAUAUCUGCAUGUUUUUUCUUAGAUGUAUUACUGUAUCAAAGCCAGCGCAUGCUUCUUUCCACUUUCUUUUUUAAGAGAAAAGAAAGUGAGUGAGAAACACAGAAUGAGAGGAGCUUCUAGGUGGCCCGGCCUUGGUACAGCAUGUGGCUGUUCUGUGAAGUCAGAAGAAAGCCUGAGAAGACACUCAUCUUUGGACGUGUCUUCAGGACAUGGUGUUGUCAUCUUGACAGCGCUACCUUUGUGUUAGAUGUGCUUUCAAGUCCAGAAUCCCCUCCUUACUUCAGAAAAGCCGAUGCUCUCAUGAGUAUUUCUCUGUAUCGCCCAGGAUCACACACGUUGUGUUGUUGUUCAAUUUCUAUAGCUUCAUCCUUGAUAUUAAUAUUUUGAACAACAGUGGAUUUAGUCUUAAUCAUUUAUAACCAAAACAUUAUCAAAAAAGAACUUUGUUUUCCUAAAUUAUGUAAGUAAGAAGAUCUCUGAUACGAGUGUGUUGUGCUUUAGUUCAAACGAAGCACAUUGAGCGACUAUUUUCUCCACAAUGUGUCAUCAUGUGCUUCUGUAAUUUUGAGUUGCUUGGUGGUGGCAGGGAUGACAUACAAACGUUAACAGACAUCAUGAGUAAGACAUUGAACGAUUUCCUGUUUCCCUGUUAUGUCCAAAUUUAUAUCAGAACACCAACAUUUAAUGUGGUAUUACCACGCAACUGGGGCCUUUUCUACAUGUUUAGGGAAACCUGCCACAGCAGCUGUACUGCUGUAUAUUGAACUGUAACUUAUGGACUUAUAAGUACAACCCAAACACGUUGAAUCCCUUUCUAAAAAUGUUGGUAAAUCUAUCAAUGGAGAUGACGAGAUGAUUUUCAUUCUCAUGUCUUUGAGAUAUCUGUGUCCGAGAUUUUUUGUACCAACCAAUACAUUUCAAUGUCUAACAAACAUGUCAAAACACAUUUUCCUCUUGAGGACAUUACCAAAGCCUAUUUUAAGAUUUUAAGGAGUUUCGGAUAAAAUAUGUAAGUUUGUUAUAACAAUAAUACACACGUGAAGUAUAAGGCUACGUUAUGGAAAUGCACUUAAUGCCAAUCUUUGCAUCAGUAUAAAACCCAAACUCUGAAGUAAUUGUGGUUUCCUAUACCGCCAGAAGCUAAGGAAGAGCAGUUCAAAGAGCCAUGGUAAUAUUAUUUCUAACCUUGUAUUGAAAGGAUUUCACUUAGUCUGACUAUAAAAUCCUGUGAAAUUCCAUAAAAGACAUGAAAACAUCCGUCUGACAGACGUGGAAGGUUUGGGUGUCUACUAUCGGGAGAAAUGACUACUAAACUUUCCCCCUUGCACGCUGGUGCGGCAGAUGUAAACACUCCCAGGACCUGCUCAUCAAAACAUUUCUGUAGCUAGUGGUCAACAUAUCUAGAGGCUAUCAUGAAUGUCAUGUUCUAUGCUUCAAAAACGCAUAAACACUUUGCCACACAAAUUGAUGUAACAGGAGCCCUGACCCCUAUUUCCUUCAUGUUUCUACUGUUUAGUUAAAAAGCACUGUGAGUGUUUUCUGUCAUUGCUUUUUUAUGCUGUCCAUCUUCCUGGUUGGAUUCUCAGUGAAAAUGCUGUUCACUAUAAUAGACUUGGCCAUUUGGGGCUGCACACAAUGAGUGUUGUUGUAAUUUCUCCUGUCAUGGGCAAUGAAUGGACCAUGUUUCCUUUUUUCCCUUUUGCUUGUUUCCUACAUGUAGACGGCAAUUUACAUGGAGACAUUAAUGUAACUGUCAUGUUCUAUCCAAGAGCGCUGAAGCAGAACUGCUAAAAGACAGCCAAGCCACAGCACUGAUGCUCAGAGCACCAAAGAUUGAGCGGCAAUGCAAAGUUAAUGGAAUUAAGUAAAGAAUGCUCCCAUUCACCGAAGCAGGGACAAAAAUAACAUUUAAAUAAGCCUUGGUCUGGAAAUAAAUGAUAGAAAUAAGCAACUCAAAAGGCAUGUGUUCAUUUAAUGUGUAUAGGGUGGUGGAGGGGGGGACUUUUUCUAUGAUUUCUCUCCUUGGCUUAUUGUUGUCUAAAUAAGAGAAUAGGCAAUUAGAGAAUAUGCAAUUAUUACAUUUAAUAAACUGCUGGGUUGAGUGCAAACCUUCCAAGAACAUUGGUUAUGCAGUAAGUUGCUUUCACCGUAAUGCUGUUAUGUUGUAUUUCAUCAGUUAUCAGUUGUUUCAUGUCUGAGAACAAGCAGUGGCAGGGGAGCUCAACUGUAGGUGGAAGGGCUUUGGGAGACACCGUAGAAAAACAAGGUCCUGUGCCUCCAUAUUGCAUGUUCAGAAUCUGCCGUAUUUUCACCAGGGAUCCUGCAGGCACAAGGAUGCACUAAAUAGGGAGGUCAGCGUGGUCUUUUAUACCACAACGGUCUACUCUAGAGUUGACAAUCUACAACAGAAACUCUGCCAGCAAUAAGGGAUCUGAUGCAGUGAGGCUUUUGGGUUUUGGGAUGACACUUUUGAGACACUGCUGACUCAAAAACGCAAAGUAUAAAAAGGAAAAUAAUACAUUUAUUCUAAUGCAUUUCUCUUUGCUGAUAUGUCCAUUUUACUUAGAUGGAAUUGUAUAUUGGUAUAAUUAAGAGAGGAAGGUUUUUUAUCUAAUUGAAGAAUUGUUGUUCAGCUGGAUGUUAUUACAUUGUACAAAUCAGGAAAUUACAUCCCGUUGCAAACAUCUAUUUACUGUCAGAAAUCUGCAAAGAAACGCCGCUUGCUCAUUAAUGUCUCAAGGAUCUUAUGAAUGGAAAAACAAACAAAAUGGGUGUUUUUUUUGCAAAAGAGCAACAUUUUCUUUUCUUUUCAUUGAAAUGGUAUCCUGGCUGUCAUAGUCCAUUUACCCAUUUUCAUUCUGUACUGAAGCCAGUUGUUACAGAGGAAGAUUAUAAGAAAGAAAAUAAUACUAAACUAAGGUUUAUCUCAAUUAAUUAUUCGGCAGAACUAUCUAUCAAAAACACACAAGUGUCAAGCCUUUAAUUCUUUUGUUAUCAAUAAUGCAUUAGUGGCUACUUCAUUAAUUCAUGAUAGUGUUUACUAACUGCUUUCGUUUUCAUCACAGCCUGUGUAGAAUUAGACAUUUUUGUAUCCAACCUCUUCAUGAUGCUGAGCUGCUCUUGUUUUUGUGUGACAAUGAGAAGCUGAGUAAUAUUUGUGUCAUGCCAUGAAUUGGAUAUUAGCGUAAAUAUUAUCAUAAAACAGAUGGAAUAUCAUCCAAAUUGCGUUAAGCCAAAUUAAUUUAAAAAGAAACAAUGGCAAUAUGAACGACAAUAAUAAACAUAAAACUUGCAUUAACAGCUACGUUUCUGCCUAUUGGCCAUUUGUGUGAGAUGGAAGUCAUUAUUUAAUUAAGUUAAUAGCAAGCAGAGGUUAAAAGGAGCCUAGUACGUAUUGCAAAAAGUUAAUAUUGUCACUCUGUACACUCACUUCAUUCAUUUGUGUUGUGGAAAACACUUAUUUGUGCAUAAUGAGGCAAAACCUGAACUAUUUAUAAGAAAAUCAUCCAUAUCCGCAAAUGUAUUAACACACUGUUACUUCUUUUCUAUUUGUUGGCAGUGCUAACAACAUAGUUGUAUUUAAACAAAAGAAAAAUGGGAUUUUAUUAAUCACUUAAGCAAGCAAAAGUCAAGGCAGUCGGUUGUAUGAGAUCAUAUACAUUAUGUUUAUGACCAGGGUUAAACCCACAUUGAUCUAUUGCAGAACAUUCAAUCUUUAAAUGUUCUUAUAACAUGCACACACUUAAACAUUCAUCAUAACAGGAUAUUUAUACGGGGCAUUUCAUUUCCUUUAAAUUGUUUUACUUUUUUAUUUGUGUUGCUGUCCAGUUCUGUGUGGCUUCAUUCAUAUUAACGUUUUUUAUUUGCCGUGUGAAGUGUUUUUCCUCAAUUGUCACUUGAGUGUUAAAACUUAGUCUGUUUGGGAUCCAAUAGCAAAACAGAAUUUAGGGAUUUUUUUGCGAAGUUGAUUCAAAGAGGGAAGUAAGCAAGAGAAACAAUAAUGGCUUCUGAAAAAAAUCUAUAAUAUGUCAUAAAAUCUUGAUUACCAAUUUUGCUUUCAACAUAGAAAACCCAGUCAUUUAUAUUUUAUUUAUUUAUUUUUUAUCGUAGUGUCACUCUCUCUCAUCCAGUGUAUGAUUUAAGAUGCAGUCUCGAUUACUGUAUAGGACUUCAGAUAAUUUACCAAGAAAGAAAAAAAAGAAGAAGCCUUUAUCUUUA